rnacentral:rRNA from 1 species
ACGAACGCUGGCGGCAGGCCUAAUACAUGCAAGUCGAACGGACGUAGCAAUACGUUAGUGGCGCACGGGUGAGUAACGCGUGGGAACGUGCCCUUCAGUACGGGACAACGUCGGGAAACUGACGCUAAUACCGUAUAAUAUCUCCGGAUCAAAGAUUUAUCGCUGAAGGAUCGGCCCGCGUCUGAUUAGCUAGUUGGUGAGGUAAUGGCUUACCAAGGCUACGAUCAGUAGCUGGUCUGAGAGGAUGAUCAGCCACACUGGGACUGAGACACGGCCCAGACUCCUACGGGAGGCAGCAGUAAGGAAUAUUGGACAAUGGGGGAAACCCUGAUCCAGCCAUGCCGCGUGUGUGAUGAAGGCCUUAGGGUUGUAAAACACUUUCGUCGGGGAUGAUAAUGACCGUACCCGAAGAAGAAGCCACGGCUAAAUUCGU